rnacentral:rRNA from 1 species
GGGAUUGCCUCAGUAACGGCGAGUGAAGCGGCAACAGCUCAAAUUUUAAAGCUGGCGUCUUCGACGCCCGCGUUGUAAUUUGGAGAGGCAUCUUCGGUUUGGGCGCCAGCCUAUGUUCCUUGGAACAGGACGUCACAGAGGGUGAGAAUCCCGUGCUUGGCUGGCUGUCCCUUGCCAUGUGAAGUGCCUUCGACGAGUCGAGUUGUUUGGGAAUGCAGCUCAAAAUGGGUGGUAAAUUCCAUCUAAAGCUAAAUAUUGGCGGGAGACCGAUAGCGCACAAGUAGAGUGAUCGAAAGAUGAAAAGCACUUUGAAAAUAGAGUUAAAAAGUACGUGAAAUUGUUGAAAGGGAAGCGCUUGAGACCAGACUCGGCCGGAGAUGAUCAGCCGUCCUUCUGGGCGGUGCACUUGUCUCCGGUCGGGCCAGCAUCGGUUGAGACGGCGGGAUAAAGGCCCGGGGAAUGUGGCUCCUUUCGGGGAGUGUUAUAGCCCCGGACGCAAUGCCGCCAGCCUCGACCGAGGACCGCGCUUUUUGCUAGGAUGCUGGCGUAAUGGUCUUCAGCGACCCGUCUUGAAACACGGACCAAGGAGUCUAACAUCUAUGCGAGUGUUUGGGUGUCAAACCCUUGCGCGUAAUGAAAGUGAACGGAGGUGGGAACCCCCUCGCGGGGCGCACCAUCGACCGGUCCUGAUGUCUUCGGAUGGAUCUGAGUAGGAGCAUAGCUGUUGGGACCCGAAAGAUGGUGAACUAUGCCUGAAUAGGGUGAAGCCAGAGGAAACUCUGGUGGAGGCUCGCAGCGGUUCUGACGUGCAAAUCGAUCGUCAAAUUUGGGUAUAGGGGCGAAAGACUAAUCGA